rnacentral:tRNA from 1 species
GCAGUCUUGGCGGAAUUGGUAUACGCGUUAGACUAAGGAUCUAAUCCGGGUUUAACUGGGUACGGGUUCAAGUCCCGUAGACUGCA